rnacentral:rRNA from 1 species
CGAACGGGUGAGUAACACGUGAGCAACCUACCUUACACAGGGGGAUAGCCGUUGGAAACGACGAUUAAUACCGCAUGAGACCACAGAAUCGCAUGAUGUAGGGGUCAAAGAUUUAUCGGUGUAAGAAGGGCUCGCGUCUGAUUAGCUAGUUGGAAGGGUAAAGGCCUACCAAGGCGACGAUCAGUAGCCGGUCUGAGAGGAUGAACGGCCACAUUGGAACUGAGACACGGUCCAA